CUCCACUGUGGCUAACUUCCUGAUGUGCAGCCCAGAUCCUAACAGGACAGGGACUGGCCGGGGACCCUUGCAGUGGAGAUUGCUGGCGUGUUCUCUUUGUUGCUCAGUCAGAGAGAUGCUGCCAGCUCCAUCGUCUUUAUUUUUAUAUUGGCGCCUGGAAGACUCACCUCAAAGAGAAGAGACUCUGAAGACAAUGAGAAGGGCAGUGUAGACCUUUACAAGAUGCAGGGACCUGGGGAAGAUGUUAUGAGACAAUUCACAGAAAACACCUAAACCACCAUGUGGUCUCUGAUUCAGAUUGCACAUUUCAUGGAAAUUUAUUUCAGCCUUGUCUCAUAACUGUGCAAGUCUAAAUGCUUCACUGAAAAUCUCUGAGUCUCGCAUGUAUACAGUGGGGUCAAAUCUGACCUACCUAGAAGCUUUGUAAAGAGGAUUAAAUAAAAG
rnacentral:lncRNA from 13 species